rnacentral:rRNA from 1 species
UAACCCAAGGUUGACCUCGGAUCAGGUAGGAAGACCCGCUGAACUUAAGCAUAUCAAUAAGCGGAGGAAAAGAAACCAACAGGGAUUGCCCUAGUAACGGCGAGUGAAGCGGCAACAGCUCAAAUUUGAAAUCUGGCUUCGGCCCGAGUUGUAAUUUGCAGAGGAAGCUUUAGGCGCGGCACCUUCUGAGUCCCCUGGAACGGGGCGCCAUAGAGGGUGAGAGCCCCGUAUAGUUGGAUGCCUAGCCUGUGUAAAGCUCCUUCGACGAGUCGAGUAGUUUGGGAAUGCUGCUCAAAAUGGGAGGUAAAUUUCUUCUAAAGCUAAAUACCGGCCAGAGACCGAUAGCGCACAAGUAGAGUGAUCGAAAGAUGAAAAGCACUUUGAAAAGAGGGUUAAAUAGCACGUGAAAUUGUUGAAAGGGAAGCGCUUGUGACCAGACUUGCGCCGGGCAGAUCAUCCGGUGUUCUCACCGGUGCACUCUGCCCGGCUCAGGCCAGCAUCGGUUCUCGCGGGGGGAUAAAGGCCCUGGGAACGUAGCUCCUCCGGGAGUGUUAUAGCCCGGGGCGUAAUGCCCUCGCGGGGACCGAGGUUCGCGCAUCUGCAAGGAUGCUGGCGUAAUGGUCAUCAGCGAC